UCUGCAACGGCUUCCGGUGCUCGGCAGCAGCCACCCCUCGCCCCUCGCUGGGCUGGCUGCGGUCAGGCUGCGGGGUGGUGCUGGGUGGGACCAUGCACCGUUAUCUCCUCAGCAGCUACGGCUCUUCCUGUGGUUGGGGCCACGUGGGCAGGAUGGGGUUAAAAGCAGCCCCACGACGGACAGGGGCCCAUUGCUCUCUGGCCGCCGCCACCAUCACUCCAUGCAGCACCUCACCACACCGGCACCCGGCAUGUGCCACCAGCACCCAGCGUGGGCCACCGGCAUCUGGCAUACACCACCGGCACCCAGCAUGCACCACCAGCACCCGGCAUGUGCCACCAGCACCCAGCAUGGGCCACCAGCACCCAGCGUGGGCCACCUGUGCCCUGACCUGGGGGUGUGGGACGUGGCCCCGCGCGGGCGGAAGUGAGCACAUCGCUGGAGGAGAGCGACUGCCGGACACGGACUGAGAGACAGUGCAGUCACCCAUAAAGUAGAAAGCACUACUAAACAGCACUGCAGGGUGUAGUGUUUCCUACUUUAUGGAUGAGUGUACUGUGGGCUACGGAGAAGAGAGCACUGCCGCGACCCACGAGCCCAUCGCAGGCUGUCCAAGAGAGGAGGAUGGGCUGUGCCACAUGGGAAGAGGGGCCCUAUGGCCUGGUGCCCCACGUGCGCGGUGGAGGGGCCUGUUGGGUUGGAGCAAGCACCGUUCUGGGAGGCCAGGUAGGCACCAAAGCCUCCAACUCCCAGUUUCCCCCUACCCCCACCUUCAUUUUCUAUGUGGGAAGAGAUGGGUAGUCAUGGCCAUGUGCAAUGCGGAGAGGGAUGGGAGGUGGACAGGGGCUCCUGAGUGGCUUUGUGCUGCCAAAUGACUGCUGGGUGCAGCAGGGUGGGCAGCUGCUGAAUAAAACUCUUUCGGUGUUGA